UACGGAGGGUGCGAGCGUUGUCCGGAAUCACUGGGCGUAAAGGGCGCGUAGGUGGCGCGGGCAGUCAACGGUGAAAGUUCGGGGCUCAACCCUGAAUCGGCCGUCGAUACUCCCGGGCUUGAGCACUGUAGAGGCUAAUGGAAUUCCGGGUGUAGCGGUGGAAUGUGUAGAGAUCCGGAAGAACACCGGUGGCGAAGGCGGUUAGCUGGGCAGUUGCUGACACUGAGGCGCGACAGCGUGGGGAGCAAACAGGG
rnacentral:rRNA from 1 species